rnacentral:rRNA from 1 species
UACGGGGGGGGCAAGCGUUGUUCGGAAUUACUGGGCGUAAAGGGCUCGUAGGCGGCUGCCUAAGUCCGACGUGAAAUCCCCCGGCUCAACCGGGGAACUGCGUCGGAUACUGGGUGGCUUGAAUCCAAGAGAGGGAUGCGGAAUUCCAGGUGUAGCGGUGAAAUGCGUAGAUAUCUGGAGGAACACCGGUGGCGAAGGCGGCAUCCUGGAUUGGCAUUGACGCUGAGGAGCGAAAGCCAGGGGAGCAAAC